rnacentral:sRNA from 1 species
UACGAGUGUUCCUCUGUGUAGACUCAACCUGCGCCUCGCCGUCCCCCAUUCGCACACCCGAUGCCCGGGGGUCGCUACGGACUUAAAAUCUCCGCACCGCACCCUCCACCUCAGAAACGUUCCUGGAUCCGAACACUGCCCCCUGACGACCUAGAGAGAUCCCAGCUCCCAGCCCACUGAGUGGCUUCAGCCUCGCUGGAAGAAGUCUGGAAGAAGAGGAAGAGGAAAGAAAAGGAGUCAGGGAUGGCCCUUACUCAGAUUCCGUCUCCCCUGACCCAGUGACAUGAAUGUGGGAAGAGGCUGCACUGGGCAUGGUCCUGGGAAGGGCUCACACCCAGACAUGCAUGGAGAUGGGGUGAGGGUCCCGUGGUGUCAGUGCUGUUGGGCAGCAGGGAUUGCUCAGGGGUCGCAUCUGGAUGCACUGUCAGCGCUGUGUAAACCAUGAUAACAGAAGCUGCCCAUGAAGUCAGGUGUUACUGUGCACACGUACCUGCUCACUGGCAUAGAAUAAGAACACUAAGGGGAAAGCUUUCCUGCCUCAUUGGCAACUGCAUUUGAAGCCGAACAAGAAACAGGAGCUCACUUUUCUACAUCCUUGUUGGAGCAUUCUGGGAAUGAAGACAGGU